UACGUAGGGUGCGAGCGUUAAUCGGAAUUACUGGGCGUAAAGCGUGCGCAGGCGGUUUUGUAAGACAGGUGUGAAAUCCCGGGGCUUAACCUGGGAACUGCAUUUGUGACUACAAGGCUAGAGUGUAGCAGAGGGGGGUGGAAUUCCACGUGUAGCAGUGAAAUGCGUAGAGAUGUGGAGGAACACCGAUGGCGAAGGCAGCCCCCUGGGCUAACACUGACGCUCAGGCACGAAAGCGUGGGGAGCAAACAGG
rnacentral:rRNA from 1 species